rnacentral:lncRNA from 1 species
GUCCUAGUCAUCUAUUUAAGAGUGGCACAAUUUCAGGAAAUCACCUGAUAUUUCCAAUUCUCAUGUUCCUCAUUUAUGGAAUGGGAACAAUAACAACCUUAGAAAUCUACCUUGAUUGACUGUUGUAAGCAGUAAAGCAGACCACUGGGCACAGACCAUAUUUUAAAAAGUGGUUCCCUAGUCCUUGAACCCCAUCUGAUGCUCCAAGUGUGACAAUCCAGGACUGCUGGCAAGGCAGGAGGAGGGAUGGAGCUUUGUUGGACACAUCAGAAUGCAGGAUCCCACUCUAACAAGAUGGAUCCCAGAUCUACUAAUCUCUUUCCUGAGCUCCAGUCUCCCAUUACCAACUGUCAUCUAGACAUAAGAAACUGGAUAUCCAAUAGACAUUUCAAUCUCAACAUGUCAGAAACAGAACUCAUUUCCCCCACAAAGCCUUCCCUUCAUUUGUAGUUUCCUAUUACCAUUAAGAGUUCAACCAUUCUCUUAAUUACCGAGGCUUGCAAUCUCUGUGUCAUAUUUAAUUCCUUAUUCAUACUCAUCCCACAAUUCCAACCAUAUUUUCCAACACGUUUGUUUUCUAGCCUCACAUAUUCUCCUUGAGUGCUAAAGUCACCAGUGAUUGAACUGUGUGCUCAUGUAAUGUGGAGGGUCUAUUUGAGGUCUUUAUGGAAUUGCUCUACCUCUUUCUCUUUGGCAACAGACAUUGGUGCUUCAGUUGCAAUUAUUUCCAUGGUAGUCUUUUUGUCAAUGCUGAUCUUGGGCCCUAUAGUAGAGAUGCCCAAAUGUCUCUUGAAGUUGUGUUCCUUGUUGCGUUUCUAAAUGCAAUCAAAUAAAACUAUAUUAGCUGCUUUCUUUUCUCUUUGA